rnacentral:lncRNA from 1 species
AAAUCCAAUUUUAGGUCACAGGAAAGGAAAGGGAGAAGGAAGGAAAGAAGAAGGGAGGGAGAAGGGAAGAGGAGGGUAGAAGAGAGAAAAGAAGGAAAAGGAAAAGGAAGGAAGGAAGGAAGAAAGAAAGAAAGAAAGAAAGAAAGAAAGAAAGAAAGAAAGAAAGAAAGAAAGAAAGAAAGAAAGAAAGAAAGAAAGAAAGAAAGAAAGAAAGAAAGAAAGAAAGAAAGAAAGAAAGAAAGAAAGAAAGAAAGAAAGAGAGAAAGAAAGAGAGAAAGAAAGAGAGAAAGAAAGACAGAGAGAAAGAAAGAGAGAAAGAGAGAGAGAGAGAGAGAGAGAGAGAGAGAGAGAGAGAGAGAGAGAGAGAGAGAGAGAGAGAGAAAGAGAGGAAGGAAUGAAGGAAGGAAGGAAGGAAGGAAGGAAGGAAGGAAGGAACAGAGAGAGACAUAGAAGAAGGAAGAAAGGAAAGAAGGAAGGAGGGAAGAAUGUCCUCAAGGAGUUCACAUUCUAAUGGAUGAGAAAACAUAAAAAUCUUUAUACAUGUUAGAUAUGUAAUGGAAAAAUGGAAGAUUGUCUCAGAGAGAAGGCAUAGCAAUGAGGGAAGGGACAGGAAGGAAGGAGAAACUAGGGAAAGCCUCUUGCCAAAGGUGGGAUGGUUGCUUUUGUUUCCUUCAAAGAGUCCUCCUCACCUCUUCCCAAAAAACAGACAUGGAAAAUAUAUAGCAAAUAAAUAACAGAUGACUUGGCUACA